rnacentral:rRNA from 1 species
ACUCCUACGGGAGGCAGCAGUGGGGAAUAUUGCACAAUGGGCGCAAGCCUGAUGCAGCCAUGCCGCGUGUAUGAAGAAGGCCUUCGGGUUGUAAAGUACUUUCAGCAGUGAGGAAGGUGGGUAUGUUAAUAGCAUACUCAUUUGACGUUAGCUGCAGAAGAAGCACCGGCUAACUCCGUGCCAGCAGCCGCGGUAAUACGGAGGGUGCGAGCGUUAAUCGGAAUUACUGGGCGUAAGCGCAUGCAGGUGGUUGUUAAGUCAGAUGUGAAAGCCCGGGGCUCAACCUCGGAAUUGCAUUUGAAACUGGCAAACUAGAGUACUGUAGAGGGGGUUAGAAUUUCAGGUGUAGCGGUGAAAUGCGUAGAGAUCUGAAGGUAUACCGGUGGCGAAGGCCGGCCCCUGGACAGAUACUGACACUCAGA